CGGGGCAGGAAGUGCAGCUCCUCCUGGUUUGGUCCCCGGAUGUGGGCGGGCAGCAGGAGGGGGCGGAGCUUGCCCUGUGGGCGGGGCCUGGCCCUUCCGGAAGGCCUACUCCCUCCCAGGCUAGGCAGCGGGCCGUCCAUGUCGGGCCAAGCCAGGAGAGGCUGGAGGCGGCCUUGCUUCUGCCUGACUCCGGCCUGCAGGCCCGGCCCGGCCCCGCCGCCGCCCUCGCGGUCCCCCAGGGCGGGGAAGAGCCUGGCUCGGAGGAGGCGGGGGGCGGGCCGGGCCUCUCGGGCCUGUUCUUUCUGGGCCCUCAGGGCCGCCCGCCUCGCCUCCGCCGCCGCCUCCCGGUGCUCGCUGAGGGCCCACAUAGGGCGCCUGCACUGUCCGCUUCUCUCAUCAGCCAUGGCUGGAUGUGACGACUUCCUCCGGAAAGGAGUGUGUCCCGGGCAGGAGGGGCGUCUUUGCAUUGCUGAGAGGUCAAGGGGUCUCGGGGCCGCCUCGCAAGGCACCUGGUCACUUUGGGGACGGAGGGACGGGUCUCCCUUUGGAGUCUGCUCUGUGUGCAUCCAGUGUCUGAAGCAGAAGGAAACGGGGGACCCAGUGUGAAGAGCCUUGGCCUGGUAUCGAUGAUGGGAGGAGGGAAGCCAAGCCGGGGGUCGGACCACCACACCGGGCAGCAGCGAGGGGUCACCGAGCGAGUCCCUUGGCGGAGAAGUGGAGCCUCAGUCCUUGCCGCUCUGGCCCGGAUCAGCCCCUCGCUUGCGGUCAGCACUCUUGAAGAAGCCCAGCUGCAGACGUGCGGAAAAGGACACAAAGGCAGAGGGGUCAGGGCUGCAUCCAGAGAGAGGCGGCUGGACAUUUAGACAUUGGAGACUCAACUAUGCCAAAUACUGGGGUCGGACUGGACUGUAUCUUCCCAGGAUCCAUCUUCCACCCGAGAGCAGUGUUCCUAGUUGUGUGUGUCAUCAGACAGACAGACAGAGGCAGAUGCAAGGACCGAGGGCACCCUACCUUCCAGAGCGCCAGCACCAACAGCCCCAGCAGCAAGAGGCCACCCAAGGUGCUCCCGAUGAUGAUCCAGGUGGGCACCUGGGAGUCCUCCACCUUGGAGAUUUCAAACAUGAUCUGCAAGAGCGGUAGACAAGGCAGACGUGAGUUACGACCAAGGAAUAUUGAAAGAAAGGGAUGAGGGAAGACCAAGAAGAAGAAGAAGAAAUGGAAGCAGCAACAGCGUCUGGUUUGUCUUAAGCUGAUCUGACUAUGUUCAGACUUACAAGGAGCACUGCUUGAAUAUCAAGCAAAUAGUGGGUGCUAGAAAUAAUACCAUACGAAAGCAGACUGGCACCACCUGGGACCGCAUCCAGACCCAGUGAAGACCAAUCUCUGCCCUUGCGCGUUGCUUCUCUGCUGCUGAGUGCGCAUGCCCAGUGUGGAAUGCAUCUCACCACGCUAAAACCUUGGAUGUGGCUGGUUGCAUUCAGAAAGAGCUUGAACACCUGGCUCUUCACUCAGGCCUAUGGAUAAAGAUUGCUCAUCCCCAUAACAGUCCUGUAUCCGUGACCAUUUUUGUACCGGUUUGCACUUUUUUGCUUUUGUCAGCUUGAUAUAGACACAGCAGGGUCUACUCCCAUCCCAAUUUGCACUUCCAAGAAUUUGCAGCACUUUCUCAGUCACCUCGUGUUUACCAUAUUUAUAUGGUGCACAUUACCCAGUCUACUUUUACAACCUCUCCGUUUUAAUCCAUGUUUUUAUUAGUUUUUGCCAUUUAUUUUUAUCGGGUAAUGUUUAAAUUUUUAUAAUUGUGCAUGUCUCUUGUCUAUUGUUGUGUUUUAUAUUGCUAUUGUUUUUAUUCGGGCUUGGCCCCAUGUAAGCCGCCCUGAGUCCCCUUUGGGGAGAUAGAGGCGGGGUAUAAAAAUAAGGUUAUUGUUGUUAUUAUUAUUAUUAUUAUUAUUAUUAUUACACAGCAAACAAGAUAGACAUGCUGGAUUUCGUAUCACAAAAUCACAAGUUGAACACUUCCGAAGUGUCUAGGACUGUGUGAUGUAUUUUCGGAUGAUGCGUGCAGAUCCCAGUAGGGUGACCUUUUGCAGUUGGCAGAUCGUAAUUUUGUCAAUGUCUAUUGUUUCCAAAUGCCGGCUGAGAUCUUUUGGCAUGGCACCCAAUGUGCCCAUCACCACCGGGACCACCUGCACUGGUUUUUGCCAGAUAGAUGGGCAGAGUGAGUUGAUCUGACUGCCUUGCUAUUCUGUAUUUCCUUCUUUAUUCCAUUGGAAAGGACUUCUGCUGAAUGCCGGGAGAGGGCACCAGUCUCCCACUUUCUCUGCUUAAGGAAACUUGGAGGCAAAAAGUGUGCCGUAAUGCGUGGUGCAUUACUCUGUUGCCUGCAAGAUACGAAUUAAAGACAGAGCCCUUUUCUCCCACAUCACAUACACACCUUUUCCAUGACAGACCAAUUCCUCAUUCAUACCUAAUCACACUACGCAACACGAGUUUUGCUCCUGGGCUAGAAAUGUCAUUGCCUAAUUGGUUCCAUUAUAAAAACAUGGCAAAAGUUUAUACAACUGCCAAAACUUUGCAUUUGCAGGACAUCCUGCUUUGCCAAAUUUUGCCAUCGUUUUUCAAUGAACAUCUCAUUCAAGUCUCAACCAAUUCAACCUAGUUCGCGACAGCCACAAAAACAAAAUUUCUUGAGUAGAACAAUUCCUUUCCAAGUAAGGACUGCACAAUUAAACUGGAAUAACACUUUCGAACCAGGAACAGAAUAUUUUCCAAAUUUUGUUACACACUGUAAUUAAUAAUAAUAAUAAUAAUAACAACAACAAUAAUAAAAAGGCCACCCUACUGGGAUCUGCACGCAUCAUCCGAAAAUACAUCACACAGUCCUAGACGCUUGGGAAGUGUUCGACUUGUGAGUUUGUGAUACGAAAUCCAGCAUAUCUAUCUUGUUUGCUGUGGUAUACAAUGUCGUUGUGUCAAUAAUAAUAAUAAUAAUAAUAAUUUAUUUCUAACAUACAUAUAAACGGCAAACAUUCAAUGUCACAACUACUGCACUUAAUAUCAAAAGUAUAAAAUGAGGAUAACAUAUUCAUAAUAAUAAAAAAUUCCAAAUUAGAAAAAAUAAAUACAUUUAAACACGAUACUCAAUAAAAACAUUAUUGCACAGAGCAAGCGUAUACCUGGACUGAAUUAAAUGACCAAGUUGCAGAAAAUGUUCCGUAUUUGUUGAAGUUUCCCUUAGACCAAUGAUGGGCAACCUUUUGUGCUUGGUAUGUCAAAAUUCACCCUAGCAUGACUUGGGUGGUGUGUCACUUUGAGAAAAAAACCCGUAAUUUUGCAAUAUGUAUAGUUUAAAUAACAAAAAUAUAUAAUUGUAAUAUAUAACUGUAUUUAAUAAAUCAAAAACUAUUUACUACCA